ACUCUGGGACACGCGCCACCUGUCUUCACGGGAGGGGAUAAUUGAGCAGGACCAAACGUGAGCAUCUUUUGGUAAACGUGAUACGUUUUUUUAAAUGUAUUUUAUCUCCCAGGCUGUUUGAUCCGAGUGAAAUGAACUGUGACUGUCGGACUAUGACUACCACGUAUAAGCAGCCGAAGAAACAAGAAUAUUAUCCGGAAGAAGAAAAGUUGGAACACUCUCAUAUUCAACCCACACGGCCACAACUGAAAGGGGGAAAAGGGACCGAAAUGAUAGCGUUGCAAGUUUGACUGACUCUCACACAUACCAGGGAUGAAAGUAUAAGGGUUGCAGAGUGUUAAGGAAGUGAGCAUCAGCGGUUUGGGUUGUUAAUGUUUUAUAUUUGUAAACGUUUAUUUAUUUGCCUCUAUGGACGUGCGUUUAUGUUGUACUAUCGUAAUAACCACUAUGAGUGGAGCAUGUAUAACGGCGCAUGCCCCAUGCACCUACAAGAGCGAAAGAGAUGUGUAUAUUGAGGUGCUUCUCGCAAGUGCCAGGUGCAGUCAGUUAUCAACUGUAUGGAUAAUUAAAUCAUCAAUCAAGAGGCUCGACUGUUUGAUGCCUUUGUCCAAAGCCAAUCAGAUUCCAGAGAACUCGGAAGCACAGCUCGAGAGGAAAAGUCAGGUGAUAGUGCGUUACAGACUUGAAGAAGGGGAUCCCGCUUUACUGCAGCUGGCCGGUGGUGGCUGGUCCGCUCUAGGAGUCUGAGGUGCGGGACGUUCCUGCGCCCCCUUUGGACAUCGAGGGGGUCCCGGCGUAUGCCGUUCACUCCAUACUGGAUUCAAGGCUUCGGGCGAGGGGCCUGGGUUCCGGUGGAGGUGCUGGUUUCUGGUCUUCUAGCCUUCGCCGAUCCACCAUUCAUUUUCCAUUUGUUAUGUCUUGUUUUCCCACACACAUUCCCUCAUUACGUGACGUGUAUAAAACCCUCUGUUCCCCCCAUGUCUGUGUGUGGAAUUGUUUGUUGUAAAGUGUAUGUGCAUUAUAGACUGGUUUGCGCCGGGUUAUAUCAACCCAUAUUCUGUUGUUCUGGGUGCUGUCGGUUUUGCCUCAUUAAACUGCUCCGGUUAU